AAGCACCAACUAAAUAACUUGUGAUGCAAAAAUAAAACUGCUAUCCCAAGUGCAGGAGAAUCGCACAAGCAGUAAAACUCGGAAGUCCAAGGUCAAAUCCUCAGGGAACGGUAUAUGUAUUAUUAGCGUAACUUCAGGUGUAAUUUUCAGUUGAUUUUUUUAUAAAUUAAAAGCAGAGAAUACUAGGUGAAUAAACAAAGUUCAAUAAGAUAGAGAUGGUUAGGGAUCCGGAAUCCCCCUUGAUAAUAUUACUCUCAACAAAUAAACUCGGCGAUUCUCGAUUUAGGAUCAAAUAAAUAAAAUAGUUCUAAUCAUGAAAUAUAUCGUUUGAAUACAUGAACUCAAUGUUUAAGCAUUCAUCGUGUCAAUUAUGUCUACGACAAAUCAAAUAUCAGAGCAAUCCAUGCAUCAAUAAAUAUAAAACAUGAUGAAUCUAUCUAAUAAAUAAAUGAGAGAGAAUCAGAACAUAUGAAAAGAUGUAACUCAAUUAAAACCAAGGNNNNNNNNNNNNNNNNNNNNNNNNNNNNGUCAAGGGUCCUCCCAUCACCCUUAACCAAAGGGAUUAGCCUCCCAUUACAAUAGCAGCCUCCCUUUUUUUUAUUAUUUUUUUUCUUUUCCUUUCUCUCCUUUGAAAACAGAGUCUCCUUCUCUGUUUUUCCGAAUGAGAGCUCCCCGUUUUUGUGUGGGAAUGAAGGACAACCUCCCAGCCGACCCCUCCCCUGUUUUAUACAAUGAAAACCUCCCCAAAAACAAGAUUUCCUCACAAAUUAAAACCAAAAUUUCCAAACUAAAGAUGCUGGAAUUUUGCUGGGAGGAGGAGGUCGUCCGGGAUGCCCAUCUCAGCUGGCCGCGGGAUGCCCGGUCGCCGGAUCCGGCUGUGACGUUGGGAGAGUGCUUGGAUUGCGGAAGAGGCGUGAGGAGGAGCGGACGCUGGCUGAAGAUGGUAACGGAAGAUCAAAUC
rnacentral:lncRNA from 1 species